GCAUCACGCCGCGCCACUUCCCUGUACCGACCGUGGUGACAUUUUGUUUUGCUUCCGUUUGCGUCUCUUCGACGAAAAAUACCUUUUUAGUUUUUAGUUAAUUUCUGUUCGCAAGUUUUUAUUUGACUAUAAGUGAAAACAUUGUAUAGUAUAGUACUUCAGUCUAAAAAUGUCGGAAACCGAUUCCGAUAGAUGUGAAACAAUGGAAUCCAAUAUGACAACUAUGGCGUCUGCGUCUUCUAUGGCCGCAAAUGUUAAAGCGCUCCAAAGAAAGCGUGCUGCGUUAACAAAACAUUAUAAUUAUUUUAACGAUAUUGAAAAUGUUGACCGGGACCGUGAAGCCCUACUUAUCAGGGAGGAACGCUUACGGGCUACAUUUGAAAAAUUCGAUGAAAUUAAUUUAGAAAUUUGCGCAACAGACCCCAAAGCCGGUGAUUCUGGCGAUGUGGAAAGCAAAUUCCUUGAAGUGAUUACAUUAAUUAAAAAGCUUAUGGUCAAUAGCGCCACUCGCCCUUCAGCGCAGCCGCCUUCAAGGCACAAAUUGCCUCAAAUAAGUGUACCAACAUUUACAGAUAAUAGAGCACUUGCAUUAGAGAAUGCAGAGCGACAAGUACACCCUUCUACAAGCCCGAAGGUCGUACACACGGUAACUAUGAUGAAGAAGCCGUCUUCACCUCAAGUCUGCAUACUAUGUGCUGCUACCGCCUGAGCGUCAUGAUGUCCACCGCUUAGUGCAGGAUGCAGGCACACCGAGCACAUCUGUUUCGCUACCAGUUUUUCGCACUCAAUUUGGUUAUGUUGUAGCAGGAUCACUUCCUUCUGCUUUGCAUGCACAUCCGGUUUUGCUGAUGCUGCGAGUUCUACAGCCUAUGGUUGCUGCAUUUACUUGAGGGUCACCGAUGACUCAGGUAAUGUGAAAGUUUCUUUACUCUGUUCAAAGUCGCGUGUGAAUCCAUUAAAGCAAGCCCUUACUAUACCAAGACUCGAACUUAACGCGGCAUUAUUGCUUGCAAAGCUAGCCGCUAGAGUGUAUGAUAUUUUGAAACUCAAAUUAAAAAUUGAUGACAUUAUCUUGUAUUCAGAUUCCCAGAUUGUAUUAGCAUGGAUUCAAACUAAUGUAAAUAAGCUAGACACAUAUGUGGCAAACAGAGUAAAGGUAAUUUCACAACUCACUUCCUCAUAUACUUGGUCUUACAUUAGUUCUGAUGAAAAUCCUGCAGACUGUCUAAGCAGAGGCUUAAUGCCAGGUGAGUUGUCAAGUCAUCCGUUGUGGUGGCGAGGUUCAAGUGCUAUAAACACUUGCGAUUAUAAAUCAGAAAACUGGUCUGAGCCGCAUCCUACUUCACUGGACAGCCCUGCGUUCUCUCAUGCAUUGUUUUGUACUGUUUCAAACGAACAAGUAUUAUGUUUAGAUUUUCUUUAUAAAUAUUCUAAUAUCAAUAAAAUGCAACGCGUAUUAGCCUACAUACUACGUUUUGUUGAGAAUGCAAAGCCUAAGGUGGUCAAAAAUAGGUUAAGCUAUUUAACAAGUAAGGAAUUAAGUGAUUCUUUAUUUUUAAUUAUUAAGUAUGAACAACAAAGUCAUUUAAAAAAUGAUAUCUGUAGUUUAAAAUGUAAGAAUGAAAUUGUUAAGGGUGAUUUAAAGCCAUUGUGUCCAUUUAUUGAUGACAGAGGUCUGUUGAGAGUAGGUGGCCGUUUAAAGAAUGCUUCUAUUCCAUAUUCUCAAAAACACCCGGUUGUUUUGCCUAAGAAUUCUCGCAUAACAGAUUUGAUUAUUCAAAGUGAACAUUUAAAAUGUCUCCAUGCAGGACCUAGGUUACUUCUGUCAACAAUAAAUCAAAGAUUUUGGAUUGUACAUGGCAUCAGACAGAUUAAAAAGGUUAUACAUAAGUGUAUUGUAUGUUUUAAAUUAAAGGCCAAUGCUGCAAGGCAAUUGAUGGGUUCGUUGCCUCACGAUCGAGUAAAUGUAUGCAGAGUAUUCCAAAAAGUUGGGUUAGAUUUUGCUGGCCCGAUUAUGAUAAAGCAAUCUAGACUAAGAAAAGCCCUAGAAACUAAAGCUUACGUGUGUGUAUUUGUAUGCUUUGCCACUAAGGCAAUACAUUUAGAAUUAGCAUCUGAUUUAAGAACAGAAACAUUUCUAGCCUGUUUGAAAAGGUUUAUUGCACGCAGAGGUUUACCCACUGACAUUUACAGUGAUAAUGCGUCAACUUUUAAAUCUGCAAGUAGACAGUUAAAUGAUUUAUAUAAGUUAAAAAAUUGUAAAGAUUCUCAGAAGGAAAUUCAUACUUUUUCAUCGCAAAAUAACAUAUCUUUCCAUUUCCUGCCUUGUUACUCGCCUACAUUCGCAGGUUUGGCAGAAUCCGGCGUGAAAAGUAUGAAGUUCCAUCUGAAAAGAGUGGUUCAAAAAAUCUUAUUAACAUAUGAAGAAUUAAAUACUGUACUAUGUCAAAUAGAAGCCAUGUUAAAUAGUAGACCACUCAUGCCAUUGUCAGCAGAUAUAAAUGAUUUUUUGUAUCUCACACCGGGUCAUUUUAUAAUAGGAGAUGCUUUAAACAGCUAUCCAGAACCCAAUGUAACGAUUUCAAAUGAUAAUUUAAAAUUUUGGACACAAUGCACUUGCAUUAGAAACUCCUUUUGGAGAAUCUGGAGUAAAAAUUAUUUAAAUAUGUUGCAGUCACGCCCAAAAUGGAGAGAUUCUCAUGUUAAUGUAAAAGUAGGUUCAUUAGUAAUUUUAAGAGAAGACAACACGUCACCUAUGUUUUGGCCGAUGGCCAGAGUCACACAGGUCUUUCCUGGGACAGACAAUAAGGUUAGAGUUGUUGAAGUAGUGACUCCAACUCGGAACACUCACAAGCGCUCCAUAACAAAAAUUAGUGUUUUACCCAUCUUAUUGUUAAUAAAUUUAUCCUCUAUAAAUAGGCAGUGUUCAUAGUUAGGUAUACGUAUGACAACCUCAUAGUUUAUUUAUUUGUUUUUUUUUUGUUAUAAACAAGUAGUUUUUAUUUUUAUACUGAUAGUCAAUAUGUUAAGUAUUUUGCAGUGUCAAAAUAAGAUUGAUAUUCAAUAACUUUUAGUUAGAUAAUUUAAUUGUGCAUAUGUAUCACAUAAUCUUUAAUAAAUAUUGUAAAGUGAGCAUGCAUGUUGUUCAAAUUAUUCAUUUAAUGUUUGCUGCGCUUUGUCCUACAAACACUUCGUUUGCCGGGCAGCAUGUUGGAAAUCCCAACACUAAAUUAUAUUUUUAUUUUUUUUACUAUAGCAACAUUUACGCUCACAUUAAAAAUAAUGCUCUCUUCCUUUUUGUCUCCAUUGCCAAUAAAAAGUUCUCCCAAGUAA